ACAUAAGACACGAGUGCGGGGCCCCGGGUGCCACAGCCAGGAGCUCCCGGGCGGUUCUCGGCUCCUUGAUGAAAGGCUGCUUUGGACCAAAGGUGACGCACUGCUCUGCUCACCCCUCGUCUGUGACCCUGGGGCAGGAAGACUAAUGUGCCAGAUCAAACCAGGAGCAGAGGGAAAAUCUUCAAGCUAAGCCUGUGUGAGGGGUUUCUUAAAGGCAGAAUUUAUAGUUGCCUUUAAAAAACUCACUGGCAGCCUCUAGCGGGACUAGAUAUUCAUUGUUUAAGACCCAUGGGUUAUAUUUGCCAUGCAUCCAAUGACUCUGUUUUACUGCCUAGGCAUUCUCUUUGGCACGAUCUUCUUUCUUUUACCCAUCAUCGUGGCCGGUUGGAUAACUGUAAAGCACAAACAAGGCAAAACUACAGAUGAAAAAUGUAAGGAGAGUAUCCAUUUACAUCCUCAAGAAGACAGCGGUGUAAGUCCUCAAACUGUGCAAACAAAUCAGGAGAACAGCAGUGUCCUUCCUUGACAAAGUAUAUAAAGCUGGAGAAGACCUCGAAGUAAAACGUUGGUCGGGAAGCGAUUCAUUUCAACAGAAUAAGAUAUGAAACGCAUAAAAUCCCAACUGGAAGUGACCUCACAGACAUGCAAGCAUGUGCACUUGAAGAUGCCGAAGUGCCCCCAGAAUCUAGGAAAAGCUCCCUCCUCUUAGUUUGGAUUACUGUCACCCCUUCACCCUCUGUCCUUGUGCUCAAAGCACACACCAUCCAUUUAGGGGAAAAGACUGCCCUUGGGCUAUAUAAAUAGCCUCACUUACUUAAAGGACAAAGGUGUUGCCUAAGAUCUUGGUUUACCAGUUUGUUAUUUUCCUUUCUUAUUUUCAAAUGUCCAUACUAUGGAAUGGGCUCAUUAAUGAGAAUCUGAAAAUCCAGAGGGACAAUGUGAAAAACAAAUAAGUCACAUAGAAUUAUACUACUCUGUGAUAACCACUGGUAAUAUUUCGAUUCAUUUUCUGCUAACCUUUCUUCAUGUAUGUUUCUUUAUACACAAGUCUUACUUAAAUAGUUAGUUUUUCUUUUAUAGAGCAAAACCUCCUCCUAUUAGAUCCGAGUAAAAUAUAGCUAUAUCAGUUUUUACUUCCUUAGAAAAGAAUAUUUUCUGUUUAUUUUAAAAAAAAAAACAUUAAAUGAUUCUGGAGAAGAGGUUUUCAAGAGAAAUAUCUGAAACAAUGAGCUUUGGAUAUUACCUAAGUUCUAUUUCAAAAGCACUUUUACUCUAUUCUUUACAAAAACAUAACUAUUUUAAAUAAAAGAAUAAUUUUAUUAUAAAAGCAACUGGCUUACUUUUGUAUGGAUUCAGAAUACACUAAAUAAACUAAGAAACUAUGACUUUUAAGAAGUUAAAAAAUUGGGGCUCCUGGGUGGCUCAGUCGGUUUGAGCGUCCGACUUCGGCUCAGGUCAUGAUCUCACAGUUC